UGGCUUAGAUGGUAAAGAACCUGCCUGCAAUGCAGGAGACCCAGCUUCGAUCCCUGG
rnacentral:tRNA from 1 species